rnacentral:tRNA from 1 species
UGUCGCCUUAGCUUAGGUGGGAAAGCACCUGUUCAAAUUACAGGCAUGUCAUUGGUUCAAUUCCAAUAGGCGACAU